GGAAGACGAGGAGUGGUCUGAAAGUGGGGAGAGUUCUGCCAAGCUGCCUGGAUGGAUGUCAGGCCCUGUGUGCCCAGAGCCAGUUGCCCAAGGCCCCUGGUUAUUUUUUGACUCCUUGAGCCCUGGGAGAGCAGACACAGAGCGGCUGCAGAGAGAAGACAGGACCGUCCCUGCGGCAGUGGAAGAGCCAGACUUGAACCCCAGUCCCACGCCUACUGGGUCUUUCUGCUGCAUGGGAGGGAGGGCUGGCGAAGAGCUGGACUGUGGAUGUGGACACACCUGGGGUUGAGUCCCAGCCCUGCUGUUUCCAGAUGAUGGAACCUUAGAUGGGCAUCUUAACCUCACUGAGCCUCAGUUUCCUCAUCUGUAAAGCAGGGAUAAUUUUCUUAGGGUUAUUGUGACAAUUCAAUGACAUAACAGAAGUAAAAUACAUUGAGGACAGUGUCUGA